UAAGAGGUCCCGCCUGCCCUGUGACCACAAGUUUAACGGCCGCGGUAUUCUGACCGUGCAAAGGUAGCGCAAUCACUUGUCUUUUAAAUGAAGACCUGUAUGAAUGGCACGACGAGGGCUUAACUGUCUCCUUUUUCCAGUCAAUGAAAUUGAUCUCCCCGUGCAGAAGCGGGGAUAUAAACAUAAGACGAGAAGACCCUGUGGAGCUUUAGACACCAGAACAGCCCGUGUCAAUAUCACUUAAUUAAAAGACUGAACCAAUCGAUCCCUGUUUGACUGUCUUUGGUUGGGGCGACCGCGGGGGAACAAAAAGCCCCCAUGUGGAAUGGGAGAACACUACUCCUAUAGCCAAGAGCCACAGCUCUAAUUACAGAACUUCUGACCUGAAAGAUCCGGCAAGACCGAUCAACGGACCGAGUUACCCCAGGGAUAACAGCGCAAUCCUCUUCCAGAGCCCAUAUCGACAAGGGGGUUUACGACCUCGAUGUUGGAUCAGGACAUCCUAAUGGUGCAGCCGCUAUUAAGGGUUCGUUUGUUCAACGAUUAAAGUCC
rnacentral:rRNA from 1 species